AGUUUUUAAACCAUUCUGAUUGGAUUUUCAAUAAAGAUUAAAAUUUAAAAAACGUUUGAAAACGAGGUUUUAUAAAACGUCAUUUCAUAAACUCAAUUUAAAAAUAGAACAGCUUUAUUUAUUAAAUAUCAAUAAAAUUAAUAACGGUAAAAAAUACGAUGAUAUAUUACAAUAUUAAUUAGGGUCGUUUCAAAGAAGAUAUCUGAUUAGAAACCAAAUCGUAUGACUGAGUGUGUAAACGUGACGAAUAUUGUACGUUAUUAACAUUGCAGAUCAAAGUUCGACAACAUAUUUUAUUAGAAACAGAAUACCGAGAAAUGAACUCAGAUUUCUUAGUAACGCAUAAAAAAACAUAAGUAGACCUAAGUUGUUUGUAAAUCUAUAUUACUAAAACAUUCCGCAAUGUAAUUUUUUUCGAAA